CGCACGGGUGAGUAACACGUAUCCAACCUGCCGUCUACUCUUGGACAGCCUUCUGAAAGGAAGAUUAAUACAAGAUGGCAUCAUGAGUUCACAUGUUCACAUGAUUAAAGGUAUUCCGGUAGACGAUGGGGAUGCGUUCCAUUAGAUAGUAGGCGGGUAACGGCCCACCUAGUCUUCGAUGGAUAGGGGUUCUGAGAGGAAGGUCCCCCACAUUGGAACUGAGACACGGUCCAA
rnacentral:rRNA from 1 species